UAAGACGAACCGUGCGAACGUUGUUCGGAUUCACUGGGCUUAAAGGGCGCGUAGGCGGUCCGCCAAGUCCGGGGUGAAAUCUUUCGGCUUAACCGGAAAAUUGCCUCGGAUACUGGCGGUCUAGAAGAGGGUAGGGGCCGCGGGAACUUCCAGUGGAGCGGUGAAAUGCGUUGAUAUUGGAAGGAACGCCGGUGGCGAAAGCGCGCGGCUGGACCCUCCUUGACGCUGAGGCGCGAAAGCUAGGGUAGCGAACGGGAUUAGAUACCCCGGUAGUCCUAGCCCUAAACGAUGGGUACUAGGCUGUGGAUGUGACAUGCGUUCACAGCCGAAGCAAAAGUGUUAAGUACCCCGCCUGGGGAGUAUGGUCGCAAGGCUG
rnacentral:rRNA from 1 species